rnacentral:rRNA from 1 species
GCUAGCGUUGUUCGGAAUUACUGGGCGUAAAGCGCGCGCAGGCGGUCUUCCAAGUCAGUGGUGAAAGCCCGGAGCUCAACUCCGGAACUGCCAUUGAAACUGUUGGACUUGAGUACGAGAGAGGUGAGUGGAAUUCCCAGUGUAGAGGUGAAAUUCGUAGAUAUUGGGAAGAACACCGGUGGCGAAGGCGGCUCACUGGCUCGUAACUGACGCUCAGGCGCGACAGCGUGGGGAUCAAACAGG